UUACCACCAUUGCAGAUUAUAUGUUGUUAAUUCCGAUUGAGGAUCAUGGCCAGUAAUUGGAGUAAUUGUGGUGUCUGUGAUUAUCGUCAUAUAUCCAAGCCAUCAGUAGUCUGGUGUUCCCAAUGCGAUGAAGGACUAUGUGGAGAUUGUAACGAACAUCAUAGUAUUUCCAAGGCAUCACGAAACCAUGAAACAGUUUCCAUUACCGAAUACAAGAAGUUACCGAAAGAGAUUCUCCAAAUCGCCACGGCCUGUAAAAUACAUAACGAGAAAUACGAACUUUUCUGUAGAAAACACGAUUGUCCGUGCUGUAAGAAAUGUGUGAAUUCUCACAACGAUUGUAAAGGUUUAACCGACAUUAAUGAACUCAUAAAAAACGUUAAAACCUCAAACGCCUUUUAUGAAAUCGUACAAACCCUGCUGGAAGUCGCUGAGAAUAUCAAACUAAUCAAAACUAAUCGGGAAGAUAAUUUAACAUCGUUAGAAAAGCAAAAAAGAGAAAUUGAAGAAGAAAUAAAACAAACCAGGACAAAGAUUAAUUAUCGUCUUGAUUGUCUUCAGGAUGAUUUGUUGAAAGAACUAAAAGCAGCUGAACAAAAAGAGAACUGUAAAAUACAGAAGUUGUUGACUGAUCUAAAAAUAAAGUAAAGAGAGAUUACAGAAUUCAAAGAAAACAUUGAUAAUAUUACACAGCAUGCGUCAGAACUGCAAACCUUUUUGUCCAUAAAACAUUUCGAAAAAGAAAUUUCCGAUGACGAAAUAUCAUUCAAUCGAUUAUCAAAAGUGACGCCACAAACCAAGCCAAUAUUUCAUGCCAAUUUACCAAGUCUUUAGCACAAAUCACAACCAGCGUACAGAAGUUUGGAGAAAUUAAUGUCAGUUCUGAUCCAUGCAGUUUGUCAAUUCAGAACCGGAAGCAAAAUCAAGCCCAGAUUAUGGUAGCUAUUCCGACUAAAAAUAUUGAUAACCUGACUCUGACGUUACAGAAAGGUUUCAAUACAGAGUUCUCAAAUGUCCGAGGUUGUUCAAUGCUCCCUGACGGAAAGAUGGUAUUCUGUUCUUAUGAACAAUAUAAAAUAAAACUAGUCAAAUCUGACGGAUCAAAAGAUUUCGAAUUAAAUACUAGUAAUGUCGGACCUACGUUUGAUGUGGUAUUGAUUGGUGAUGAUUGUAUUGCUGUUACAUCUGAUGGUGCAAAACAGAUUUAUAUAAUCGACUUAAAGAACAAAAAACUGAAGAAAUCAAUAAAAGUUAGUUCAGCCAAUGAUGGAGCAGUAUACAAAGACGGAAAUUUGGUUUAUUGUGCCAGAGAGAAAGGACUACAGAUGAUCAGUCUGAAAGGCGAAACCAAUACCAAUGUUUAUAAUACCAAACUCUCACAAUAUGCGUACAUUACAACAUUUGGUAACAAACUGUUCUACACAAACAGGGACAAUGACAGUGUAACCUGUUGUGAAUACCAUGGUAACAUACUGUGGACGUUCUGUGAUAAAAGUGUUCUGAGUUCUCCACUCGGUAUAUCUGUAGACAAUGAUGGUAACGUGUUUGUAGUGGGACGUGAUACUCACAAUGUGAUCGUCAUCUCUCCUGAUGGACAACGCUACAGACAACUUUUAUCACGUGAUGAUGGACUGAAUUACCCACAGGUUCUGCACUAUGACACAUCUACCAAUAAAUUGUUAGUGGCAAAUUUCAUGGAAAUUGCGUUUUUGUAUGAUGUUAAAUGAUAUGUUGUGAUUUUUGCAAUUUCGAGUACAAGAGUUAACAAAAUGGUCCAUUUAACAAACUUAGCUCCAAACUAACACCAAUCCUUGGCUUUCAAAUAUUCGGUUUUGAGCGUUCAUGAUGAAGGUAAAAUCCAGAAAAGCGCUUCGGACGCAUGACAUUUAUAACGUGUUGUUUUUAUUUUUAACCGGAUUUUCGAAGGAAAUAUCGGUUAUUAAAAUGGUGAUGUACGGCGGGUGGCUGGGCGGAUCUCAGGCGGCUGCCAAACAAUGUCAGCACAAUAACAUGAAAACGCUUUAACAAUUUUUUUUCAAAUUUAAAUAUGUUGUUUCCUGGGACUUAAUGAAGGUCUAGUUCAAUUUUCAAGAUUUUAUAGUAUAUCUCCUUUGUGAGUUAUUUCCAUUUUUAAUUUCCAAAAGUGGAAUAUUUAAAUAUUUUACUCUUGUUAUCUUUUUUUAUGACUAAGCAUAAUGUCUUAUCUCACAAUAAAAAUUGGAGUGACAGAUUUAUUUGAAAAUUAUCUAUUUCCUAAGUGGUAAUGAUUAUAAGCUAUAUAAUAUUAUUAGACAUUUUGAAGUUAAUUACAUUAUUAAUUAUUAAUUAGAUCUGGGUUAUAUCUUAGCAUAUUAUAUCAUUGGAGUGACAGAUUUAUUUGAAAAUUUUCUGUUUCCUGAUAAGAUCUGUAGGACUGUAUAUAUAAAGUUUGAAAUUUACUAGAAGGACUGUAUAAAUGAAAUUUGAAAUUUACUGUUCAUUAUUAGACAUUUUGCAGAUAAUUAAGUCUCCCUAAACCAUAUAUAUUCUUACCCCUACCCCCCUUCAAUUUCAGAAUGUGCUUUUAUCUUGUAAAUGGUUGAGAUCCCCACCCCUAAACCAUAUAUACUCUUGUAUGGGACAAAAAAACAAAUCUAAUGAAAUAUUUGGGGAGUCCCCGGAUUCACCAGCACCCCCUUCUUUUUGAAAACUUGUAAACGGUCAAGAUCCCCACGCCGAAACCAUAUAUCUUCUUGUAUGGGACAAAAAAACAAAUCAAAUGAAAUAUAAGGUGAGUCCCCUGGGGUCACCCCACCCCCCUCCUGUUUAAGAACGUGUAAACGGUCGAGAUCCCCACCCCUAAACCAUAUAUAUUCUUGUAUGGGACAAUAACACAAAUCAAAUGAAAUAUAGGGGAAGUCCAUGGGGGUCACCCCCACCCCUCUUCUUUUUGAAAACUUGUAAACGGUCUAGAUCCCAAACCCUGAAACCAUAUAUAUUCUUGUAUGGGACAAUAAAACAAAUCAUAUGAAAUAUUGGGGAAGUCCAUUGGGGUCACUCCACCCCCCUCCUGUUUAAGAACUUGUAAACGGUCGAGAUCCCCACCCCUAAACCAUAUAUAUUCUUGUAUGGGACAAUAACACAAAUCAAAUGAAAUAUAGGGGAAGUCCAUGGGGGUCACCCCCACCCCCUUCUUUUUGAAAACUUGUAAACGGUCAAGAUCCCAAACCCUGAAACCAUAUAUAUUCUUGUAUGGGACAAUAAAACAAAUCAAAUGAAAUAUUGGGGAAGUCCCCUGGGGUCACCCCACCCCCCUUCUUUUUGAUAACUUGUAAACGGUCUAGAUCCACACCCCUAAACCAUAUAUAUUCUUGUACGAGACAAUAACACAAAUCAAAUGAAAUAUAGGGAACGUCCAUGGGGGUCACCCCCACCCCCCUUCUUUUUGAAAACUGAUAAACGGUCAAAAUCCCCACCCCAAAACCAUAUAUAUAUUGUUGUAUGGGACAAUAAAACAAAUCAAAUGAAAUAAAAGGCGAGUCCCCUGGGGUCACCCCACCCCAUCCUGUUUAAGAACUUGUAGACGGUCGAGAUCCCCACUCCUAAAUCAUAUAUAUUCUUAAAUGGGGCAAUAAACCAAAUCAAAUUAAAUAUAGGGGAAGUCCAUGGGGGUCACCCCCACCCCCCUUCUUUUUGAUAACUUGUAAACAUUCGAGAUCCCCACCCCUAAACCAUAUAUAUUCUUGAAUAGGACAAUAAAACAAAUCAAAUGAAAUUGAGAGGGAGUCCCCUGGGGUCACCCCCACCCCGUUUUUUUUUGUUGAAAACUUGUUAACGGUCAAGAUCCCCAUCCCGAAACCAUAUAUAUUCUUGUAUGGGAUAAUUAAACAAAUCAAAUGAAAUAUAAGGCGAGUCCCCUGGGGUCACCCCCCACUCCCUCCUGUUUAAGAACUUGUAAACGGUCGAGAUCCCCACCCCUAAACCAUAUAUAUUCUUGUAUGGGACAAUAACACAAAUCAAAUGAAAUAUAGGGGAAGUCCAUAGGGGUCACCCCCCCCUCUUCUUUUUGAAAACUUGUAAAUGGUCAAGAUCCCCAUCCUGAAACCAUAUAUAUUCUUGUAUGGGAAACAAAACAAAUCAAAUGAAAUAAAAGGUGAGUCCCCUGGGGUCACCCCCAUCCCCUCCUGUUUAAGAACUUGUAAACGGUCGAGAUCCCCAUCCCGAAACCAUAUAUAUUCUUGUAUGGGAUAAUUAAACAAAUCAAAUGAAAUAUAAGGCGAGUCCCCUGGGGUCACCCCCCACUCCCUCCUGUUUAAGAACUUGUAAACGGUCGAGAUCCCCACCCCUAAACCAUAUAUAUUCUUGUAUGGGACAAUAACACAAAUCAAAUGAAAUAUAGGGGAAGUCCAUAGGGGUCACCCCCCCCCCCCCCCCUCUUCUUUUUGAAAACUUGUAAAUGGUCAAGAUCCCCAUCCUGAAACCAUAUAUAUUCUUGUAUGGGAAACAAAACAAAUCAAAUGAAAUAAAAGGUGAGUCCCCUGGGGUCACCCCCAUCCCCUCCUGUUUAAGAACUUGUAAACGGUCGAGAUCCCCACCCCUAAACCAUAUAUAUUCUUGUACGGGACAAAAAAACAAAUCAUAUGAAAUAAAGGGAGAGUCCCCUGGGGAUCACCCCCUCCCCCUUUGAGAACUUGUAAACGGUCAAGAUUUCCACCCCUAAACCAUAUAAAUUCCUGUUCGUAAUUUCAAGAAGAUUUGAAUGACAUACAGGGUCAAUCCAUAGGCGUCACUAAUGCAUAUCAUAAACCAAUGUGUACUGGACAUUGCCCAAUGUCAAGCGACAAUGGGAAUGACGAAUUAUUGGAGCUUUGUUUGGGAGACAAUUGAGACUUCGUAACAGCAUUCUGUUACAAUUAUUUCUUGUUACUGAUAAGUUUUAUAGAUUUUGAAAUGACAUUGUAUUAAUGAUCAAUAAAAUUUUGGAUUUUUUCUUCUUUUCUUUGGUAAAUUGUUUGUAGAAUUGUGUGGCAAGUUUGUUUGUUAUUCUGUGAAAACUAAUUUGCUGAAUGCUAUAUAUUUUUUUUAUGUAGUAAACUCCUUUAAAAACUAAGCUUAUAUUGUCUAUUAAUAAACAUAUAUUUAGAUUUCUGAUUUUGGACCCAGUUUUCAAGUUGGUCCAAAUUGGGGUCCAAAAUUAAACUGUGUUUGAUUUCAACAUAAAUUGAAUAUAUAUAUAGGGUUCUUUGAAAUGCUUAAUCUAAACCUGUAUUUCUUUUCAUUAUUAAUAAGAUAAUACCACAUUGAGGUCCAAAGGGUCCUAAAUUACACUUUUGAUUAAUUUCAACAAAAAUUGAAUUCUUUGGUUCUUUGAUAUGCUGGUUCUAAUAAUGUUUGAGUGUUAAAUCAUAUCUAAUUUUAGAGAACUUAGUCAUCACUGGUUGUUGUUAUUAUAUUAUUGAUUAUAAUUUGAAAAAUUGCAUCAUAUCUUAUUUUAGAGAACUAUUUAUCCAGUUUGAGUUAUUUCCCUUUGCACAGAAAAUAUUAUGGAUAAAAUUAACCUGUGUUUCAUUUCAACAUAAAUUAAAUAUAUAUAGGGUUCUUUCAAAUACUGAAUCUAACCCUGUAUUUAAAUAGUAGAUUUUUGAGCCAAGUUUUCAAGUUGGUCCAAAUCAGGGUUCAAAAUUAAACUUUGUUUGAUUCAACAAAAAAAUAAUUUAUGGGGUUCUUUGAAAUGCUGAAUCUAACCAUGUAUUGAGAGAUUUUGGAUUGUGGGCUCCUUUAUCAAAUUGGUCCACAUUGAGGUCCAAAGGGUCUUAAAUUAAACUUUUGUCUGAUUUCAUCAAAAAUUGAAUUCUUGGGGUUCUUUGAUAUGCUGAUUCUAAUAUGUACUUAGAUUUUUGAUAUUGGACCAUAAUAGGUAUUUAAAUGUCCAAUUUCAAGUAUUUCAGUUCUUAAACCACAUUCAUUUUGUGUCAAAAACCUAUGCUGUGUCAAAUAUUCAAUCACAAUCCAAAUUCAGAGCUGUUUUAAGCUUAAAUGUAGUGUCCAUACUUGCUCAACUGUUCAGGGUUCGACCUCUGCAGGAAAAUCCGGUUUGCUGUCACUCUGACAGCCUCUUGCUUUUAAAUGUUCUUAAAAAUUGAAAAUAGUAUAGGAUUAUUAUCAUACCUGGAAUAACUUCAACAUGUGGUGUAAGCAUUCUAGAAAACGUGUACAUACAUUUUUCUCACGAGCUAUGAAAUGAUCACAAUGACAAUCAACACUAUUUAAGCAUAACAAAAAAAUGUGAUCCUUUGUAAUUUUGAAAAGAUAACAAUUUUCCUUUUAUAUCUCCUCGUUUAAGAUCCACUUUCUUAUUUUGUUCGGAUACAGAAAUAAGAACGCACUCAUUUUUAAACGACCGCAAAAAAUUUUGCGGUCGUAUAUUGGUAUCACGUCGUCGUCGUUGUCCGCGUCGUCCGAAGACAUUUGGUUUCCGGACAAUAACUUUAGUAUUAGUAAAUAGAAAUCUAUACAAUUUAAACACAAGGUUUAUAACCACAAAAGGAAGGUUCGGAUUGAUUUUGGGGGUUAUGGUCCCAACAGUUUAGGAAUUAGGGGCCAAAAAAGGGCCCAAAUAAGCAUUUUUCUAGUUUCCAGACAAUAACUUUUGGAACGGUGUAUGGAUCUCUCUGAAAUUAUACCACAAUUUUCCAUACCACAAAGGGAUGGUUAGGAUUGGCUUUGGAGUGUUAUGGCUCAAACCGUUUAGGAAUUAGGGGCAAAAAAGUGAGAAAAAACAAGGGUGACCUGGUUAAUGGACAAUUAUUUAGGUACAAUGUUGUGUUUGAAUCACCUCCCUUACACUGCUUUUAAAUUAUGUAUAAAGAAAUGUUGUAUUGUCUUGAGGUGACUAGCUGUCAAUUUAUUUUUAGAAGUUACUAUUUUUUAUAAUUUUAAAAAUGCUGAUUAAGGUAUAUUGAUUUUAGCCAUGAUUAUGUAUGUCAUUUUCUAUUUUAAGACUUUUAUGAUGUUCAGGGUUGGACCUCUGCGGUCGUAUCCAGCUGCGCUCGGCAAAGCAAUUUAUUAUUUUUGUUUUAAUUGCAUAUGAUUGAAGUAAAACUGUAAAAAUAAAGCCAGAUAUCAUA